GCGGAAGCGGAAGCGCGGAUCUCCCGGGAGCGAUGGCAGCCGGGGGUCCCAGCCGCUCGGAGCGCAAGGCGGCGGAGCGGGUCCGGAGGCUGCGGGAGGAGCAGCAGCGGGAGCGCCUCCGCCAGGUGUCGCGCAUCCUGAGGAAAGCGGCGGCCGAGCGCAGCGCCGAGGAGGGCCGGCUCCUGGCCGAGAGCGAGGACCUGGUGACCGAGCUGCAGGGCCGGAGCAGGCGGCGCGAGGGCCUGAAGCGGCGGCAGGAGGAGGUGUGCGACGACCCGGAGGAGCUGCGGAGGAAAGUCCGGGAGCUGGCCGGCGCUGUCCGAAACGCCAAGUACCUGGUGGUCUACACCGGCGCAGGGAUCAGCACGGCAGCCUCUAUUCCAGAUUACCGGGGCCCUAAUGGAGUGUGGACACUGCUUCAGAAAGGGAGAAGCGUUAGUGCUGCUGACCUGAGUGAGGCUGAGCCAACCCUCACCCACAUGAGCAUCGCCCGCCUACACGAGCAAAAGCUGGUGCAGCAUGUGGUGUCUCAGAACUGCGAUGGCCUCCACCUGCGGAGUGGUCUGCCUCGCACGGCCAUCUCCGAGCUCCAUGGGAACAUGUACAUUGAAGUCUGUACAGCCUGCACUCCCAACAGGGAGUACGUGAGGGUGUUUGACGUGACCGAGCGCACCGCCCUGCACCGGCACCAGACGGGCCGGGCCUGCCACAAGUGCGGGGCCCAGCUCCGGGACACCAUUGUGCACUUUGGGGAGAGGGGGACGCUGGGGCAGCCUCUGAACUGGGAGGCAGCCACUCAGGCUGCCAGCAAAGCCGACACAAUCCUAUGUUUAGGUUCCAGUUUAAAGGUUCUGAAGAAGUAUCCUCGUCUCUGGUGCAUGACCAAGCCCCCCAGCCGGCGGCCCAAGCUCUACAUUGUGAACUUGCAGUGGACCCCAAAGGAUGACUGGGCUGCCCUGAAGCUUCACGGGAAGUGUGAUGACGUCAUGCAGCUCCUCAUGGAUGAGCUGGGCCUGGAGAUUCCCCCCUAUAGCAGGGUCUUAUAGGGGAAAUCAAUAACUUCUUUUAAUCAAAGGGUUCAAGAAUUAAGGAUCCCUUCACCUUCUGGGCCUGGCAAUUCUUGUGGCAGGACCCCAUCUUCUCCCUGGCGACUCCCCUAUGUGCAGGUGAAGAAGGGAGCCACACACGGAAAUCGCUGUGCAGAAGCCGGGAAGAGCCCCCGCCUGGAGACCGGGGUGCACCACUUAGCUCAGCCCCCGUCCUAGGUGGCUGGUUUGGCAAGGGCUGCACUAAACGCACAAAAAGAAAGAAAACGUAACCUGGUGCUGGACAAGAACAAUUGGCACUUUGCAGAUGAUGGAACUCUGAUUCAGGGGCAAGGCCAGGACUGCCCCCUGGUCCUGUGAGCAUCCUCCCGGGAGGACUGCUUAGCCCUUGGUCCUAGCGGGAGCCCCUUGCACUGUUGUGGCCGCCUCGAGCAUGGGCCUUCGGAGGACACCUGGCCUGUCCAGCCUCUUCUUAGAGAGGUGGCAGCCAUGCCUUUGUGCGAGAACAGAACUCGGGUUAUUUCACAACUGGCCAGUCAGGAGGAAGCACACGGCUGCCUUUCCUCCUUCACCGGGCUAGUCUCAGGGGCCUCAAGCCUAUUUCUACUGCUUCUUACUAAAACACGGUGACUUUAUAGCAACUUUUUCUGAAUUGGGCUUGCGGCAGAGGGGUGGUUUUGAGCCUGGGCUCUCAGCAGGCCUUUUUGUUAUUAAACGUCUUUGCA